rnacentral:rRNA from 1 species
ACGGAAGGCAGCAGUGGGGAGUAUUGGGCAAUGGGCGAAAGCCUGACCCAGCAGCGCCGCGUGAAGGAAGAAGGUUUUCGGAUUGUAACUUCUUUUAUCAGGGACGAAGGAAGUGACGGUACCUGAUGAAUAAGCCACGGCUAACUACGUGCCAGCAGCCGCGGUAAUACGUAGGUGGCAAGCGUUAUCCGGAUUUACUGGGUGUAAAGGGCGCGUAGGCGGGGAUGCAAGUCAGAUGUGAAAUCCAUGGGCUUAACCCAUGAACUGCAUUUGAAACUGUAUCUCUUGAGUGUCGGAGAGGUAGACGGAAUUCCUAGUGUAGCGGUGAAAUGCGUAGAUAUUAGGAGGAACACCAGUGGCGAAGGCGGUCUACUGGACGAUAACUGACGCUGAGGCGCGAAAGCGUGGGGAGCAAACAGGAUUAGAUACCCUGGUA